rnacentral:miRNA from 1 species
GUAAGAAAUCUGGUUAGUUUUC